CACGCCCUAAACGAUGAUUACUCGAUGUGUGCGAUAUACUGUACGCGUCUAAGCGAAAGCAUUAAGUAAUCCACCUGGGGAGUACGACCGCAAGGUUGAAACUCAAAGGAAUUGACGGGGGCCCGCACAAGCGGAGGAGCAUGUGGUUUAAUUCGAUGAUACGCGAGGAACCUUACCAGGGCUUGAAAGUUAGGGUAUGAUCCAGAAAUGGGUCAGCCAGCAAUGGCCCGAAACUAGGUGC
rnacentral:rRNA from 1 species